rnacentral:lncRNA from 10 species
CAGGCGUGAGCCACCAUGCCCAGCCUGGAGAUAGGGUCUUUAAGGAGGUAAUUAAGGUAAAAUGAGGUCAUGGCAGUGGACCCUAAUCCAAUGGCUGGUGUCCUCAUAUGAAGAGGUGACUAGGACACAGAGGUGCACAGAGAGAUGACAAUCUGAAGACACAGAGAUGAAAAAGAAGACAGCCAUCCUCAGAAGACAUGAACUCUGUUGACAUCUUGAUCUCCGACGUCUAGCCGCCAGAAUUCUUCACCCUACCCAGGCCUGCCCAGCUUGCCCACAGGCCUGGUCACUCAAGAAGGAGGGAGGCAUUGACACCUUCACCUCAGCUGGCUGCAGGCAGCGUGAUGCUACAGCUGGCCUCCUCCCCUCACCUGGGGCCUGCUCACCGGGGGCCUGAUCACCUGGAGCCUCACCUGCAACCUUCCCCCAGCAUCUCCCACCCACCCACUGGCAUCUCUGCAGCCAAACAGCCAUGCCAGGCCCAGAUGACUCCUGCUGAGGGAUGGUCACUCUCUUAUCAACCUUCUCCAAAAUGUCACCAGGUGACUUCUCUACAAUAGGCUGUGUUGACUCUCCUCAGCUUCAAUACCUCCCAUCUCUCCCUCCAAAGUCAUUUCCUUCCACUGCAUUCUUUCCUUUUCUCCCUAAGAUCCCAAACCCCCUUCUUUCCCACCCUGACCACUCUUCUGUGGGGCAAAGACUUUUCAAACCAUCCCAUACCCCAUAAAAACAACAUCACAAACUCCCCAGCCUGUUUACCAAGCCUGAAAUUCCACCCUGAUCUUUAAUGUCAGGAGAAAGGCACUCUCAUGUUCCGACGGAUGCUGGAUGCCUGAGCCCCAUCAGCCAGGCCACCUCUGCAGGCGGGGAGGCUGCAGGGACCCUCU